AAAUGGAAGAAUCAGAUAAGAUUCGAAAAGCUAGUGAACCUAUAGAGCUUGUUAAAUUGGUUAAGCGAAUAAAGCAUGAAUUAUCGAGUGACGAAUCAUUGGCCGAAUUGCCACGGGCGGUUAAGCAUAAGAUAACUGAUGAAAUCUUACAGAGAUUGAGAAGUUUGAGACCAAAUGCCAGUAUCAGUGACCAGCAAGGCGCAGUCUCCUAACUACAAUGCUACCCUGAAACA